UACGGAGGGUGCGAGCGUUGUCCGGAAUCACUGGGCGUAAAGGGCGCGUAGGCGGCUUGCUAAGUUGCCGGUGAAAUCCUGGGGCUCAACUCCAGGACGUCUGGUAAGACUGGCAGGCUCGAGCACGGUAGAGGCAGAUGGAAUUCCCGGUGUAGCGGUGGAAUGCGUAGAGAUCGGGAAGAACACCAGUGGCGAAGGCGGUCUGCUGGGCCGUUGCUGACGCUGAGGCGCGACAGCGUGGGGAGCAAACAGG
rnacentral:misc_RNA from 1 species